AGCUCCAAUAGCGUAUAUUAAAGUUGUUGCAGUUAAAAGCUCGUAGUUGAAGUUCUGGUUGUAUGGGCCUCAGCACUUGAUGCGACGGAACCAGCAAUCAUCUGCUUGCAAGCAUAUGUCCGGCCUUAAACAGCUGGCUAUGUAAGUAAGCAUUUUACCUUGAGAAAAACAGAGUGUUCCAGGCAGGUUUGUCCGGAAUGCAUUAGCAUGGAAUAAUAGAAUAUGACUGAAGUCUAUUUAUUGGUUUAAGGCUUUAGUAAUGAUUAAUAGGAACAAUCGGGGGCAUUAGUACUUGUCAGUCAGAGGUGAAAUUCUAGGAUUUGACAAAGACUAACAAAUGCGAAAGCAUUUGCCAAGGAUGUUUUCA
rnacentral:rRNA from 1 species